UUUUCAUUUUGAACUUGUGUAUAAUAGUUGAUGUUCAUAUUUAUGUUCGAUUCCUAAUUUUGUUGUUCUGAAAAUGAAAAAUAACUACUUAAAAGUGUAAAAUUUUAUUAUUAAUAAACACAAAAAUAUGUGCUUGAUAUUCUAAUGUGCCAUUGCCAAUGAGAUAAGAUUUAGUUAAACACUCUAUAUUGAAUCGAUAAAUUUAGCACGAUACAGGUUAGGAGACGUGGUCGUGCCAACUCAAGAACUCAAGACAAUCCUCCAAUUUUGCCUUCACACGCUUCCUCCUGUUUUAUUUGGAGCAAUUGGAGAUGGCGACCCAAAAUAAUAACUAGCCAAGAUUCAGGAUUAUGUGCACUUCACUCCGCAGCGAAUUAGAGAAGUUUGAUCGACUAUGAGGCAACAUGGGAUUCUAGCAAGAGAAUAUCCAGGGUGCAUCAUUAUAAGAACUCAAAGAAGUCAUAUUUUGAGCUUGGGAUUAGGGGCCCUCUUUGCCUUCUCUCUUUACACACCGUCUUGGGUGGAAGAAUCAAAUUGAAAAACCUAUCUGCCAAAUUAAAGAAUGUUGGAUUCGAGAACAUAUAUACGGAGAAAACUUUGAAAGAUAGAGAGAUAAACCAAAAAAAAUCAAACAUGAGAAUCAAAUGGCUUACCAA